rnacentral:rRNA from 1 species
GAACGAACGCUGGCGGCAUGCCUAACACAUGCAAGUCGAACGAGACCUUCGGGUCUAGUGGCGCACGGGUGCGUAACGCGUGGGAACCUGCCCUUAGGUUCGGAAUAACUCCCCGAAAGGGGUGCUAAUACCGGAUAAUGUCUUCGGACCGAAGAUUUAUCGCCUUUGGAUGGGCCCGCGUUGGAUUAGCUAGUUGGUAGGGUAAAAGCCUACCAAGGCGACGAUCCAUAGCUGGUCUGAGAGGAUGAUCAGCCACACUGGGACUGAGACACGGCCCAGACUCCUACGGGAGGCAGCAGUGGGGAAUAUUGGACAAUGGGCGAAAGCCUGAUCCAGCAAUGCCGCGUGAGUGAUGAAGGCCUUAGGGUUGUAAAGCUCUUUUACCCGGGAUGAUAAUGACAGUACCGGGAGAAUAAGCUCCGGCUAACUCCGUG